UACGGAGGUGGCUAGCGUUGUUCGGAAUUACUGGGCGUAAAGCGCACGUAGGCGGACUGGAAAGUCAGGGGUGAAAUCCCGGGGCUCAACCCCGGAACUGCCUUUGAAACUCCCGGUCUUGAGGUCGAGAGAGGUGAGUGGAAUUCCGAGUGUAGAGGUGAAAUUCGUAGAUAUUCGGAGGAACACAAGUGGCGAAGGCGGCUCACUGGCUCGAUACUGACGCUGAGGUGCGAAAGCGUGGGGAGCAAACAGG
rnacentral:rRNA from 1 species